UUGGUAGUCUUUAUUACUUGGAUAUCCGGGUAAUUCUAGAGCUAAUACAUGCCUCCAAACCCCACUUUUGCGAAGGGGUUGUGCUUUUUAAACACUGAACCAUCCCGGCUUGCCCGGUUUCGAGGUGAUUGAUGGAAAUCCAACGAAUCGCAUGCUUCGGCGGCGAUGAUUCAUUCAAGUUUCUGACCUAUCAACUUCCGACGGUAGGGUAUUGGCCUACCGUGGCUUUGACGGGUAACGGAAAAUUAGGGUUUGAUUCCGGAAAGGGAGCCUGAAAAACGGCUACCACAUCUAAGGAAGGCAGCAGGCGCGCAAAUUACCCCAUCCUGACCCAGGGAGGUAGUGACAAGAAAUAAAAAAAUGAGGCUCUUUUGUCUUGGUCUUGGAAUGAGCACAAUUCAAAUCCCCUGUUCCAGUAUCAAUUGGAGGGCAAGGCCUGGU
rnacentral:rRNA from 1 species